rnacentral:rRNA from 1 species
UGUGCGUGAAAGCCUCGUGCUCAACGCGAGGAAGCCGGACAAUACUGUCAAGCUAGAGGGCAUCAGAGGGGAGUGGAAUUCCCGGAGUAGCGGUAAAAUGCGCAGAUAUCGGGAGGAACACCGAUGGCGAAGGCAGCUCCCUGGGAUGCACCUGACGCUAAGAGGCGAAAGCUAGGGGAGCGAACAGGAUUAGAGACCCUGGUAGUCCUAGCUGUAAACGCUGGGUGCUAGGUGUGGGACGUAGAAGUUCCGUGCCGGAGCAAACGCGAUAAGCACCCCGCCUGGGAAUUACGGUCGCAAGGCUAAAACUCAAACGAGUUGNCGGGGCCCCGCACAAAAAAAAAGAGCGUGUGGUUCAAUUCGAUGCUACACGAAGAACCUUACCUGGGUUUGACAUGUACGUGGUACGAGGGCGAAAGCCUAAGGACCCUUCGGGGAGCGUACACAGGUGCUGCAUGGCUGUCGUCAGCUCGUGCCGUGAGGUGUCGGGUUAAGUCCCGUAACGAGCGCAACCCUUGCCCUUAGUUACAAGUGUCUAAGGGGACUGCCGGCGGGAAGCCGGAGGAAGGUGGGGAUGACGUCAAGUCAGCAUGGCCCUUAUGUCCAGGGCUACACACNCGCUNCAUGGUCAGUNAAAGGGUUUUAAGGGGCGNGGCGGNNCNNNUCUCNNCAAANCUGNUCGUCGUGAACGUCCAGGCUGCAACCUGCCUGCAUGAAGCUGGAGU